GUACCAUUCAUGGCCACAUUACUACAUAUGGCACCUUUAAAUACGUGUUUGUCGCGCUGACUUAUGAUUUCAAAGUACGUUAGCCUCCUUUUGUACAAUAUAUUCAUCAAAUGCAUAGGCAAUUGUGCAAUAAUCUCAUGAGGGAAUCAUACAUUAUACAUAUUCACCGUUAAAAGUGUCUCUCUGAGGGCAGCCUUCAAUGAAAGCAAGCUUGAAAACCCUGCUUGUACAGUGUAUAUUAUAGAUGUAACAAAUGUAUUAAUAUAAUAUUUUUGUGUGCUAUAACUUACAAGGUAGCCCUCGGCCUCGCCCUCCAGUUCCUCGCCGUGCUCAUUGAGGAUGCUGGGCUCUACGCCAAAGAAGGGAAACGUCUGGAAAACCAAACAUACUUAGAUUGAAGUCACACAAGGUCUUCUCUUCAACAGAUUUAAAUGAAAGUGUCCACCACGGGACACCUUCCCUGACCGACCUCUUCGUGGAACCAGUGCCACGCCUCCGAGUUGAUGGGCUCGCCCACGGUACCCACAAUCUUCAGGCUGGAGAGGUCAAACCUGGUGUAGGAGUGUGGCGCCGUGGCUCCCUUACCUGCUGUCACCAGGACGACGCUUUGAGCAUCCAUCACUCUCUCGCACAGCGACUCGGAGGAAAAACCUGCAAACUGGACGUGCAAACAGAACGUGGAGGGAGAGUUGAGAGGUGAAGCAAGCAGGAAACAGGAGGUAUCACGGAGUGUCGGCUAAAAAGUCUGAUAAAAAUGUGACGUUUCAAAAGUUGACAACUGUUACAUUCUCCUUCUACCAUGUUGUUCUGCUGUGCUUGCCUUAACUUUUUUCUCUGCAGUUAGGCUUGGCACUGGCAGUGGAGCAA